UACGGAGGGGGCUAGCGUUGUUCGGAAUUACUGGGCGUAAAGCGCGCGUAGGCGGACCUGCAAGUCGGGGGUGAAAACCCGAGGCUCAACCUCGGAACUGCCUUCGAUACUGCGGGUCUCGAGUCCGGGAGAGGUGAGUGGAAUUCCUAGUGUAGAGGUGAAAUUCGUAGAUAUCGGGAGGAACACCGGUGGCGAAGGCGGUUCUCUGGGCCUGUUCUGACGCUGAGGAGCGAAAGCGUGGGGAGCAAACAGG
rnacentral:rRNA from 1 species